rnacentral:rRNA from 1 species
GCCUACUAUGAAGUCGGAAUUGCUAGUAAUCGCGGAUCAGCAUGCCGCGGUGAAUACGUUCCCGGGCCUUGUACACACCGCCCGUCACACCAUGAGAGUUGGCAAUACCCAACGUACGUGAUCUAACCCGCAAGGGAGGAAGCGUCCUAAGGUAGGGUCAGCGAUUGGGGUGAAGUCGUAACAAGGUAGC